AACGAACGCUGGCGGCAUGCCUAACACAUGCAAGUCGAACGAGACCUUCGGGUCUAGUGGCGCACGGGUGCGUAACGCGUGGGAACCUGCCCUUAGGUUCGGAAUAACUCCCCGAAAGGGGUGCUAAUACCGGAUAAUGUCUUCGGACCAAAGAUUUAUCGCCUUUGGAUGGGCCCGCGUUGGAUUAGCUAGUUGGUAGGGUAAAAGCCUACCAAGGCGACGAUCCAUAGCUGGUCUGAGAGGAUGAUCAGCCACACUGGGACUGAGACACGGCCCAGACUCCUACGGGAGGCAGCAGGGGGGAAUAUUGGACAAUGGGCGAAAGCCUGAUCCAGCAAUGCCGCGUGAGUGAUGAAGGCCUUAGGGUUGUAAAGCUCUUUUACCCGGGAUGAUAAGGACAGUACCGGGAGAAUAAGCUCCGGCUAACUCCGU
rnacentral:rRNA from 1 species